rnacentral:rRNA from 1 species
GACGAACGCUGGCGGCGUGCUUAACACAUGCAAGUCGAACGAAGAGCGACGGAAGCUUGCUUCUAUCAAUCUUAGUGGCGAACGGGUGAGUAACGCGUAAUCAACCUGCCCUUCAGAGGGGGACAACAGUUGGAAACGACUGCUAAUACCGCAUACGAUCUAACCUCGGCAUCGAGGAUAGAUGAAAGGUGGCCUCUACAUGUAAGCUAUCACUGAAGGAGGGGACUGCGUCUGAUUAGCUAGUUGGAGGGGUAACGGCCCACCAAGGCGAUGAUCAGUAGCCGGUCUGAGAGGAUGAACGGCCACAUUGGGACUGAGACACGCCCCAGACUCCUACGGGAGGCAGCAGUGGGGAAUCUUCCGCAAUGGACGAAAGUCUGACGGAGCAACGCCGCGUGAGUGAUGACGGCCUUCGGGUUGUAAAGCUCUGUUAAUCGGGACGAAAGGCCUUCUUGCGAAUAGUGAGAAGGAUUGACGGUACCGGAAUAGAAAGCCACGGCUAACUACGUG